GGGUGAUCCUAGAUCAUCAAGCCAUGUUGAUGUUGACUGGACGUCAGGAGCAGACGAUGUCCAUGGCUAACAGAAUGAAUCUAUCAGAAGCAUAGACUUGCAAAUCACCAUGGGGUGGGUUGGUGGGUGGGGGGGGUGGGUGUGUGUGUGUGUGCCCGUCUUCCAUUGUGAAACAAUAAGCUAGUGGUUUUCUAACCUGACUUCUCAUUAGAAUUCAUGCAGAGUUUAGCUUAUAAAAAGUACACCAGUUUUGGCCCCCACCCACCAGGACUGAAUUGAAAUCUCUAGUGGUUAAAACUGACAGAUAAAAUACAAAAUACCCAAUUAAAUUUGAAUUCUACAUAAACAGUGAAAAAAAUAUAAGUAUGUUCCAUAAUAUUUAGAACAUACACUUAAAAAUUAUUUCUAACUAAAAUUUAAAUGUAUUUAUGCAUCUCAGCUUUUUGUUUUUAUUUUUGUCUUUCUCUUUCCUGUGUAGUAAUUCACUCUACCAAGGGUCAAAACUAGGAAUCUGUAUUUUCAACAAUUCCCAUGCUAAUUUUAUUAAAUCUACGUCUCUUUAUCCCAAAUUUUCCUCAUUUAUUCCUCUUUUUUAAAUUCUCAUUUCAGAUUUAAACCAAAGAGCUAUCACACAACAUAUAUAUUUUUCAAAGUUGAGGAGUUAAAUAUUUCUUAUAUAAGUAACUAUCUAGAAAGCAUAUUCAUGAUUCAAGGUAAGCCUUUUUAUUUUAAUAAAAUGCUUGUUUCAAAUGUCUUAUUAUUUAUAUUGUAUCCAUCAUUUUAUUCAAAAACAUUUCUGUAGUAUAUUUACUGUUACAUGAGAUGCACAGCCAUCCAGUUUGGGAUUUUUACAAGCUACUAAACCUCUACUUAAGAUGAAAAACAUGCAAGGUGGUCUUUUCUAGCAAGAUAAUAAAGUUCUACAUUUUCUCCAGUGGAAGUAGCACAAGUCCAAAAAUCUUAUCACAGUAAUUUAGAAUGAGGAAAGUAAUAACUAAUGCUUCUUUCACAAUUACCCUAAAGGGGAAGCAAAUGAAAAUCAACACAGAGAAGAACAAAUGGGCAAUUAAGGCAAGUACAGCCAGGUCUCUGGGAGGAAUUUCUUAAUCCCAGCAGCUUGUAAUCAGGAGUUAGGACCCGAGUGUGAAAAUGUCAAUGCAGCAACACAGAAUCCUAGAAAGACUCAGUAGGCGCAGCGACUCAAGAUGGAAUAUGAGCAGUUGCUGAGAACCUAGAGUCUGGGAAACAUAGCACAUUCCGACGCAAUUCCCAGAGCCCAGGUACCAUGGGAACAGCUGAUCCUCCACAAACAUCUAUUGAUAUGUGGAGAUGAGAUGGGCCCUGACAUGCUGUCUGGAUAUUAUGAGCAAGGUGGAGGGUAACCAAGGGGACCAGGCCAACAGCAUGGAGCUGCAUAAAUCCCAGCUGUGAAUUCAAAAGGGAUGCCUAGGCUUGAAUAUUCCUUUUGCCCCCAGCUAAUGUGUGUACUGACCUCUGCUUAAAGACCUUGGAAAUAUUUCUAAGUAAUUUGGUUCCCAUAAAUACAAUGUCCUCUUCAGGUGUUAUAUGAGGAAGAACUAAAAAUAAUUAGUGCAAAUGAUCCUCAGACCUUCCACCACCUGAAAGAGCUUAAAAAAGGUGGCGUCGGGGGAGGGCAUAAACUUUGCUUUAAAAAGAAAAUAAAAAGCGUUUUGUACUGGA